CAUGAGCAAAAUACACUGAACAUUUCUGUAAGCCAUGCACUUGAGAAUGAAAGCAGCAGCAGAAAACCCCAGAUUUGGUUGUUUGUGACUGAACGAACAAUGCUCUGACAGACUCUUCCUGUUUCUAACGUUCCAGUAGCAUUUGAGGAGCGGUGACGUUGUUGUAGUGCGGUGAGUUUAUUCUGGAUAUUGUGUUUACCGUCUCUGUUUGAUGGACAUGCACGAGUGCGAAGUAAACGUUUUGGUGCAAUAAUAUUUGACACUGUAGCUCGGAAGCAGAUUUCUCUUCCAGAUGAACGUUGAUUUGUGGAAUCAUGUACAAAUACACACUUGAGCUGAUGCACAAGCGCUGUUUCAGAUGAUGUGUGCUUUGGCAUGAGACGUAAGACUCUGUGUGUGUGUGUGUGUGUGUGUGCGUGUUAUUGCCGAGGUUAUUGUGACAGAUACACACUGCUGGGGCUGUGUUUUGGCGCAGGGUGGGGGCAGUUGUCAGCUCUGUUUCUUGACGAUGUCUAGAGCUUUUUGGAGGAGGCUGAGAGUGUGUGCGUGUGUGUGUGUGUGUGUGUGUGUGUGACGCACCGGCGCCACUCGGCCGCGCACUCUGGCGAGCGCAGAAUAGAUUGAACAGUAACCCUUUCAGCCUGUGUGUGUGAAAGCCAAUCCCCGACAAACUAGCCCUCAAAACACCCAGCCGUCAGACUGGCGGAGCACUUCAGCCUUCCAUGAGGGGGGGUGUAUUCAUCAUUAAAAAUAUGACCCAAGCUGGAGUGAAUCAGGGAGUUCUUUCAGACCGAAGUUAAACACAAUGUUUUCUGUCCUUGGCAGGGGCCAAUGAGAUACCAAAUGUAGUAAAUGCUCCAAUUUGCAGUGUGCAUGGAGACUGUGCUCGGAAAACAAAAGCAAAACAGCUCACUUAUCGGGAUGAAUUACAGCUCUGAGAGGGAAACCGAUGAAGAAGUUUAAUAAUCGAUCAUCUGUGGUGGUCGCAGGCCGAGUUUAGUAGCAUUUGAUGUGAUUUGUCCUGUGUUUUGCUGCAUAUGUGUGUGUGUGUGUAUGGGAGACGCUUCCAAUAGUCUUGUGGGUGACAUUCAUGUGCUUGGUGGACCACCAACAGUUGCCUUAACUCAUGAUGUGUGUGUGUGUGUGUGUGUGUGGUUACUACAGUCUGUGUGACUCAAAGUUUAUGCAUGUGUUUGAAUCCCCAAUCCCAAAAUCUGCUUCUGUUUAAUCGUUGCUUGUGUGUUCAAGUGAAAUUCGUCAUUAUUUGCUCUUAAUUAAAACAGCCAUCUGAUGCAGUGCUUAGGAUGUUGCGCACGUCACAUGAUGUAAUGCAACUUUCUUUCUUCCCAUAUCCAUCCAAGAGAGAUCACACAAAGGUAAGAUGUCGAUCCAACUUGAGUAAUAUUUGGAUCAUCUCUUGAAAAUGAACCUAUAUCAAAGUCAAAUGAACAUGGUAAAGGUACACAAAUGUGAACAUGCAUGCUUUUUGAUGCAGGAGUCUCUCUGAAAAAUGUCUGUGGAAUAGAGGAAAAACAUCACAGCAAGUGUCAUUUAUUGCAAGCACAGAUGCACAAACACUUUACAAGCAAACGUUGGCAGAAAAACGUUUGAAAUGCUACGAUGUAAUGUGAUUCUCUACACUCUAGGAUUAAAAGGUACAAAAGUUGGUGUGGUGCCUUUUUUAAAAGUUACUAAUAUGUACCAUUUAUCUACUAAUAUGAACACUGUAGGUACAAGUAUGCACAUUUGAGGUACUAAAAUGCACUCUUGAGGGGUAAAUACGGUACAAAGGUGUACUUUUUUAAAAGGUACUGCACUACUGACAGCUUUUUGGACCUUUUGUUCUGAGAGUGACACCUGCACAGAAUUCAUGAAGCCAUUAAAAAUC
ensembl:lncRNA